rnacentral:rRNA from 1 species
AUUGAACGCUGGCGGCAUGCCUUACACAUGCAAGUCGAACGGCAGCACGGGAGCUUGCUCCUGGUGGCGAGUGGCGAACGGGUGAGUAAUACAUCGGAACGUACCCAGGAGUGGGGGAUAACGUAGCGAAAGUUACGCUAAUACCGCAUAUUCUGUGAGCAGGAAAGCGGGGGAUCGCAAGACCUCGCGCUCUUGGAGCGGCCGAUGUCGGAGUAGCUAGUUGGUGAGGUAAAAGCUCACCAAGGCGCCGAUCCGUAGCAGGUCUGAGAGGAUUAUCGGCCGCACUGGGACUGAGACACGGCCCAGACGCCUACGGGAGGCAGCAGUGGGGAAUUUUGGACAAUGGGGGCAACCCUGAUCCAGCCAUGCCGCGUGAGUGAAGAAGGCCUUCGGGUUGUAAAGCUCUUUCGGCGGGGAAGAAAUGGCAACGGCUAAUAUCCGUUGUUGAUGACGGUACCCGCAUAAGAAGCACCGGCUAACUACGUGCCAGCCGCCGCAGUAACAC